rnacentral:rRNA from 1 species
UUGACCUCAAAUCGGGUGAGACUACCCGCUGAACUUAAGCAUAUCAAUAAGCGGAGGAAAAGAAACUAACAAGGAUUCCCCUAGUAACUGCGAGUGAAGCGGGAAAAGCUCAAAUUUAAAAUCUGGCGGUCUCUGGCCGUCCGAGUUGUAAUUUAGAGAAGCGUCUUCCGCGCCGGACCGUGCACAAGUCUCCUGGAAUGGAGCGUCAUAGAGGGUGAGAAUCCCGUCUUUGGCACGGAUGCCCGGUGCUUCUGUGAUGCGCUCUCGAAGAGUCGAGUUGUUUGGGAAUGCAGCUCAAAAUGGGUGGUGAACUCCAUCUAAAGCUAAAUAUUGGCGAGAGACCGAUAGCGAACAAGUACCGUGAGGGAAAGAUGAAAAGCACUUUGGAAAGAGAGUGAAACAGUACGUGAAAUUGUUGAAAGGGAAACGCUUGAAGUCAGUCGCGUCGACCGAGACUCAGCCUUGCCUUGGCUUGGUGUACUUCUCGGGCCGACGGGUCAGCGUCAAUUUUGCCCCUCGGAUAAUGGCAAGGGAAAGGUGGCACCUUUACGGGUGUGUUAUAGUCUCCUGUCGCAUGCGAGGGGUGGGAUUGAGG